rnacentral:rRNA from 1 species
ACGGGUGCGGAACACGUACGCAACCUUCCUUCAAGCGGGGCAUAGCUUUCGGAAACGAAAAUUAAUACCCCAUAGUAAUAUCUGAGGGCAUCUGAGGAUAUUUAAAGAUUUAUCACUUGAAGAUGGGCGUGCGCCUGAUUAGGUAGUUGGCGGGGUAACGGCCCACCAAGCCUACGAUCAGUAACUGGUGUGAGAGCACGACCAGUCACACGGGCACUGAGACACGGGCCCGACUCCUACGGGAGGCAGCAGUAAGGAAUAUUGGUCAAUGGACGCAAGUCUGAACCAGCCAUGCCGCGUGGAGGAUGAAGGUCCUCUGGAUUGUAAACUUCUUUUAUCGGAGAAGAAACCCCCGAGUUCUCUUGGGGUUGACGGUACCCGAUGAAUGAGCACCGGCUAACUCCGUGCCAGCAGCCGCGGUAAUACGGAGGGUGCAAGCGUUAUCCGGAUUCACUGGGUUUAAAGGGAGCGUAGGUGGGCUGGUAAGUCAGUGGUGAAAUCUCCGGGCUUAACUCGGAAACUGCCGUUGAUACUAUCAGUCUUGAAUGUUGUGGAGGUAAGCGGAAUAUGUCAUGUAGCG